GCUAAAUUCCCACACUUAGAGUUUUAUUGAGCCAGCUCCUAAUCUGUUCGCUGCUUCCCCGUGGAAGCCUUUGCUCCCCAGCUGAGGCUCAUUUGGUUUGGAUUUUCAUCUAUAGACUGCCGUCAGCAAGGAUUUUUAGGAGCUAAUUGGUGAAAGUGACUUAGAAAAGGAACUCCAGAAGGGAACUGGAAAGGCUGAAUUUUCAUCCUUUCUCUCUUCCCCCAAGAAUUUGUGUUACCCUUUGCUAAGGAGCAACUAGCUUUGAUGCAUGAGUAAUCUCUUUUGUUUAAAAGCUAAAAGCCACCUUAGAUGAGACGCCAUCAAACAGAAGCCCGUUUCUCAGUCCUGUAGCUGAGGAGAGUGGAGCGGCUAGUGUUUGCGAUUCCAAGUCCCGUUUGGACACACUUCAAAGAGCGGCUCAGCCAGAACUGCUAAAGGCUCCGCCAGCACCAGGACGUACAGAUUUCCAGUCGCUGGGGCCAGAGCUCAGUUCCUGCAUCUGAGGAGGAUCAUAAUUGCUGGUCUUUUAAUCUUCUUUGCAGCCUAUCAAAUGGAAGCUGCUUCACAGCAGGACACAUAGGUUCACAGUAACAAGAGCAAAAUUUGUAAUGACUUGAUUUCUCUUAAAAAAAAUCUUUGCAGUGAUACUGGAGCUAAACACAAGUGCAGGAAUUUAAAUUGGAAUCGGGAAUAGCUCGGAGGAUGGAAAAGCAAUUCUGGCAUCUAAGAACUCAGAGUGAAACAGCAUUUCUGCUCCAGAGGAGAGUCCACUUUUUCAGAAGUAUGCCUUGCUGCUGAAAGUUUCUAUUUUUAUUGGAAUAAGUAGACUAUAAUUCCCACCACUGCCUCAGGGUGGCAGUAAUGUUAAUCAGGAAGAACACAGAGGAAACAAGGACGUGCAAUGGGAGAUAAGCAUUGCAGAUGUGUGCACACACGCCAUAAACAAAUUUACUCACAUCGUUCCUGGGAAAAUUAGGUAACAACAUGACCUGUGUGUUAAAAGUCAACAAAGCCUCCUAACAAUAAGACUGCUUAAGAUAUUGCUAUUAAAAUCCGAACUCUGAGCAAAUCCAGAGUGUGCCUGGUAAUAGGGUCAUAAGAAUGCGCUCCAUUCCAUAGCACAGUGGUGUGG
rnacentral:lncRNA from 1 species